GUGUCAGCCGCCGCGGUAAUACGUAGGGUGCAAGCGUUAAUCGGAAUUACUGGGCGUAAAGCGUGCGCAGGCGGUCGUAAAAGACAGAUGUGAAAUCCCCGGGCUUAACCUGGGAACUGCAUUUGUGACUGUACGGCUGGAGUGCGGCAGAGGGGGAUGGAAUUCCGCGUGUAGCAGUGAAAUGCGUAGAUAUGCGGAGGAACACCGAUGGCGAAGGCAAUCCCCUGGGCCUGCACUGACGCUCAUGCACGAAAGCGUGGGGAGCAAACAGGAUUAGAAACCCGUGUAGUCC
rnacentral:rRNA from 1 species